GCUCAGGAUGAACGCUGGCGGCGUGCCUAACACAUGCAAGUCGAACGGAGUUUAACGCUGAUGAAGCUUCGGCAGAUUCUUGUUAAACUUAGUGGCGGACGGGUGAGUAACGCGUGGGUAACCUGCCUCAUACAGGGGGAUAGCAGUUGGAAACGACUGAUAACACCGCAUAAGCGCACAGGAUCGCAUGAUCUAGUGUGAAAAUAUUUAUAGGUAUGAGAUGGACCCGCGUCUGAUUAGCUAGUUGGUGAGGUAACGGCCCACCAAGGCGACGAUCAGUAGCCGGCCUGAGAGGGCGGACGGCCACAUUGGGACUGAGACACGGCCCAAACUCCUACGGGAGGCAGCAGUGGGGGAUAUUGCACAAUGGGCGAAAGCCUGAUGCAGCGACGCCGCGUGAGUGAAGAAGUAUUUCGGUAUGUAAAGCUCUAUCAGCAGGGAAGAAAGACCUCGUAAGAG
rnacentral:rRNA from 1 species